GAUUAUUCUUACAUAUUUUAUUUGAUGAUACAGAGCUAUAGACACUUUCGAUCUAUCCAUCAGAUGGUUAGAUUAAAUUUUGACCCGCUGAGCAUCUCCUUCCUCCCACCUGAAGUCUAAAUCGGUAUAGAGGGAUAUAUUUUGAUAUACUCUUUUGAUUCUAAAAAUGAUUGUUCUUACAUAUUUUAUUUGAUGAUACAGAUGAAUCUGCACCUUCGACCCAUC
rnacentral:lncRNA from 1 species